rnacentral:rRNA from 1 species
AGAGUUUGAUCAUGGCUCAGGACGAACGCUGGCGGCGCGCUUAACACAUGCAAGUCGAGCGAGAACCAGGCCUUCGGGCCUGGGGACAGCGGCGAACGGGUGAGUAACACGUGGGUAAUCUGCCCUCGAUUCUGGGAUAGCCCGGGGAAACCCGGAUUAAUACCGGAUAGCCUCUCGAGCUCUCGGGCUCGUGAGAAAAGGUAGCUUCGGCCUCCGAUCGAGGAUGAGCCCGCGGCGGAUUAGCUUGUUGGUGGGGUAACGGCUCACCAAGGCGACGAUCCGUAGCUGGUCUGAGAGGACGAUCAGCCACACUGGGACUGAGACACGGCCCAGACUCCUACGGGAGGCAGCAGUGGGGAAUCUUGCGCAAUGGGCGAAAGCCUGACGCAGCGACGCCGCGUGGGGGAAGAAGGCCUUCGGGUUGUAAACCUCUUUCAGCAGGGACGAAGCCACUCGGGUGAAUAGCCCAGAGGGUGACGGUACCUGCAGAAGAAGCCCCGGCUAACUACGUGCCAGCAGCCGCGGUAAUACGUAGGGGGCAAGCGUUGUCCGGAUUUAUUGGGCGUAAAGAGCGUGUAGGCGGCCAGGCAGGUCCGUUGUGAAAACUGGAGGCUUAACCUUCAGACGUCGAUGGAAACCGUCUGGCUAGAGUCCGGAAGAGGAGAGUGGAAUUCCUGGUGUAGCGGUGAAAUGCGCAGAUAUCAGGAAGAACACCCGUGGCUAAGGCGGCUCUCUAGUACGGUACUGACGCUGAGACGCGAAAGCGUGGGGAGCGAACAGGAUUAGAUACCCUGUAGUCCACGCCGUAAACGAUGGGUGCUAGGUGUGGGGGGUGUCGACUCCCUCCGUGCCGAAGCUAACGCAUUAAGCACCCCGCCUGGGGAGUACGGGCCGCAAGGCUAAAACUUAAAUGAAUUGACGG